ACGAUCCAGUUACAAAGCAGCAAAAUGCGGCGCUCAAUGAACGACGGUAGUGCGGUAAAAUCAUGCAUAGCCUGUUACGCGGUAAGGUGCUUUUUGAAGCGUUUGUUUUAGAUUUCUGCUCUGAUUUUAUAGUUAGUAACAAAGAUCAACCUAAAUCUGGAUUAUAUUAAUGGUGGUAAAUUUUGGAUCGUCAAAUACGGUUAGUGUGGAGUAGGACAUGUCCGUCGCGGAGUCGUAGGUUGGUCGUAGGUUCAAGUAUAGAGUGGAUCGAGCCCCGUCCGGCUGCAAUGACUGAUUUAUCCAGCUGCGUCGUAUUGAAUUAGUCUCAAACGUUGUAAUAGGCUGGCAUGAUGGAGCAGGUCAUUACACCAAAUCGAUAUAGUUUUAAAAAUAAAAUGCGAUAAAAACUAAUAUGGUUGAGAUAAAUUUGAAAAGAAACCCUGAUUUGUGGGGAUGAUUUGCUUUAUUUAAGUUGUAUUAUAGAGCGCAAUAUAUGUAUACGUUGAACUUAAGUUUAGUAAAGAAAAUAUAACUAUUAGUCAAAUAUAUUGGAAAUACGCUUAAUCUGUGUUCUUUGCGUGUAUAAUACUAACCGUAAAAUUAUAUUUUGUUAAA